GACGAACGCUGGCGGCGUGCUUAACACAUGCAAGUCGAACGGAAAGGCCCUGCUUUUGUGGGGUGCUCGAGUGGCGAACGGGUGAGUAACACGUGAGUAACCUGCCCUUGACUUUGGGAUAACUUCAGGAAACUGUGGCUAAUACCGGAUAGGAGCUCCUGCUGCAUUGUGGGGGUUGGAAAGUUUCGGCGGUUGGGGAUGGACUCGCGGCUUAUCAGCUUGUUGGUGGGGUAGUGGCUUACCAAGGCUUUGACGGGUAGCCGGCCUGAGAGGGUGACCGGCCACAUUGGGACUGAGAUACGGCCCAGACUCCUACGGGAGGCAGCAGUGGGGAAUAUUGCACAAUGGGCGGAAGCCUGAUGCAGCAACGCCGCGUGCGGGAUGACGGCCUUCGGGUUGUAAACCGCUUUCGCCUGUGACGAAGCGUGAGUGACGGUAAUGGGUAAAGAAGCACCGGCUAACUACGUG
rnacentral:rRNA from 1 species